rnacentral:rRNA from 1 species
AUUGAACGCUGGCGGCAGGCCUAACACAUGCAAGUCGAGCGAGCGGCGGACGGGUGAGUACUGUAUGGGGACCUGCCCGAUAGAGGGGGAUAACUACUGGAAACGGUAGCUAAUACCGCAUACUAUCGAAUCUACCCAGGUGGGAGUAGCUAGUGGGUGAGGUAACGGCUCACCUAGGCGACGAUCCCUAGCUGGUCUGAGAGGAUGAUCAGUCACACUGGAACUGAGACACGGUCCAGACUCCUACGGGAGGCAGCAGUGGGGAAUAUUGCACAAUGGGCGAAAGCCUGAUGCAGCCAUGCCGCGUGUGUGAAGAAGGUCUUCGGGUUGUAAAGCACUUUAAGUUGGGAGGCGUUACCGACAGAAGAAGCACCGGCUAACUCCGUGCCAGCAGCCGCGGUAAUUC